UAUUCACUUGACCCAGAAACACCACAAAAUCAUGCAAUUCAAGAGGUUUCAGUUUUCCUGUUCACUUAAAGGACAUUCGUGAAACUACCCAGGCCAUCAAUGUAUGCAUAUACAAAGAGCCACCAAGUGUCUGAAGGAUGUCACUUUAUGGAAGCAGUGUGCACCAUUUCGAUAUUGCAAUGGAGGGGCUGGCAAGUGUGCCCAGGGCCGAGCAGUGGGGCUGGACACAAGGUCGGUGGCCCAAAUAGGGUGCUGGAUUUUUGCUGCAUGUGCUUUAAAAUGCAGAGAAUAAUGCUAAAUAUAACAAUUUAGAUGUAGAUUCUCUCAUCAUUAAGCUUAUCCAAGUAAACAAAGCAUCCAAGAUGAGCCAUGCGUCUUGCAGAGCUCAUUAUUGGAUUAACCCUUACAUGACCCCCCACUGCCACAUUCAAGAUGAUCUUUACUGAUAAGGAACAAAUUGUUCCUAAACCUGAGGAUGAGGUUGCACAGAAGAAAAAGAUAUCCCAGAAGAAACUGAAGAAAAAAUUUACCUAUGGCUCUGGAA
rnacentral:lncRNA from 1 species